rnacentral:rRNA from 1 species
AGCUCCAAUAGCGUAUAUUAAAGUUGCUGCGUUUAAAAAGCUCGUAGUUGGAUCUCAGUCUCGAUCGGUCGGUCCAUCCUCUGGGUGGUUACUGGCUCAAUCGGACGUUGUUGGCCACGCUUCCGAGCAUGCUCUUCAUUGAGUGUGUUCCGGAGAGUGGAGCGUUUACUUUGAAAAAAUUAGAGUGCUCAAAGCAGGCGUUGUGCCUGGAUAGUCGUGCAUGGAAUGAUGGAAUAGGGCCUCGGUUCUAUUUUGUUGGUUUCCGGAAUUCGAGGUAAUGAUUAAUAGGGACGGACGGGGGCAUUUGUAUUGCGACGUUAGAGGUGAAAUUCUUAGAUCGUGGCAAGACAAACUACUGCGAAAGCAUUUGCCAAGAAUGUUUUCAUUAAUCAAGAACGAA